GACGAACGCUGGCGGCGUGCUUAACACAUGCAAGUCGAACGGAAAGGCCCUGCUUGCAGGGUGCUCGAGUGGCGAACGGGUGAGUAACACGUGGGUGAUUUGCCCUUCACUUCGGGUUAAGCCUGGGAAACUGGGUCUAUUCCCGGAUAGGCGCCAUUUUUAGUGUGAUGGUUGGAAAGUUUUUUCGGUGUAGGAUGAGCUGGCGGCCUAUCAGCUUGUUGGUGGGGUAAUGGCCUACCAAGGCGGCGACGCGUAGCCGGCCUGAGAGGGUGGACGGCCACAUUGGGACUGAGGUAAGGCACAGACGCGUACGGGAGGCAGCAGGGGGGAAGAUUGCACAAGGGGCGCAAGCCUGAUGCAGCGAGGCCGCGGGGGGGAUGACGGCCUUCGGGGUGUAAAAGGCUUGCGCGAGGGACGAAGCUUGUUGUGACGGUACCAAGAGAAGAAGCACCGGCUAACUACGUG
rnacentral:rRNA from 1 species